rnacentral:rRNA from 1 species
UACGUAGGUGGCAAGCGUUGUCCGGAUUUACUGGGCGUAAAGAGCGCGCAGGCGGUCGUUCAAGUCGCGUGUGAAAGCCCCCGGCUCAACUGGGGAGGGUCACGCGAUACUGAUCGACUCGAAGGCAGGAGAGGGUAGUGGAAUUCCCGGUGUAGUGGUGAAAUGCGUAGAGAUCUGGAGGAAUACCGAUGGCGAAGGCAGCCAUCUGGCCUAACACUGACGCUGAGGUGCGAAAGCAUGGGGAGCAAACAGG